AACGAACGUUGGUGGGAUGUCUUAAACAUGCAAGUCGAGCGGCAGCAUUUCGGAUGGCGAGCGGCGAACUGGUGAGUAACGCGUAAGAAUCUACCUUGCAGACUGGGAUAGCCCUGGGAAACCAGGAUUAAUACCGGAUAAGAGCAUGCUUGAAAGCGGCGUUUGCCGCACUGCGAGAUGAGCUUGCGUCCCAUUAGCUUGAUGGUAGGGUAAUGGCCUACCAUGGCGACGAUGGGUAGCCGGCCUGAGAGGGUGAUCGGCCACAUCGGGACUGAGAUACGGCCCGGACUCCUACGGGAGGCAGCAGUUAAGAAUAUUCCGCAAUGGACGAAAGUCUGACGGAGCAAUCCCACGUGGGGGAUGAAGGCCUUCGGGUUGUAAACCUCUUUUAGGAAGGAAGAAUAAGGCGUAUAGGAAAUGAUGCGCUGAUGACGGUACUUCCAGAAAAAGCACCGACUAACUACGUGCCAGCCGCCGCAGUAAAAC
rnacentral:rRNA from 1 species